rnacentral:rRNA from 1 species
AGAGUUUGAUCAUGGCUCAGAUUGAACGCUGGCGGCAUGCUUUACACAUGCAAGUCGAACGGCAGCGGGGGCUUCGGCCUGCCGGCGAGUGGCGAACGGGUGAGUAAUGCAUCGGAACGUGCCCAUGUCGUGGGGGAUAACACAUCGAAAGAUGUGCUAAUACCGCAUACGUCCUGAGGGAGAAAGCGGGGGACCUUCGGGCCUCGCGCGAUUGGAGCGGCCGAUGUCAGAUUAGCUAGUAGGUGGGGUAAAGGCCCACCUAGGCGACGAUCUGUAGCGGGUCUGAGAGGAUGAUCCGCCACACUGGGACUGAGACACGGCCCAGACUCCUACGGGAGGCAGCAGUGGGGAAUUUUGGACAAUGGGGGCAACCCUGAUCCAGCCAUGCCGCGUGAGUGAAGAAGGCCUUCGGGUUGUAAAGCUCUUUCGGCCGGGAAGAAAUCGCGCUCUUUAAUAGAGGGUGUGGAUGACGGUACCGGACUAAGAAGCACCGGCUAACUACGUGCCAGCAGCCGCGGUAAUA